GCCCGCUGUUAUUAUUGGUGCAGGUCGAGUCGGCCAAGCUCUCGCCACAAUGGGAGGUGGCAAGGACGUGGUUCUGAAGAGGGGAGACCCUUUCCCAGCCGACGCUCCGGCAGGGCCCAUCAUUGUUUGCACGA
rnacentral:ribozyme from 1 species